UUCUGCUGUCCACAACGUAACUGUGGCGACACUAGAUGGGAAUUCAGAUUUUGUGGAAGUUUAAUUUUAGUAAAUUGCUCAACAACGCCACCCUGGGAAUUUCACCCAGAGAAUAUUACCUCUUGUUUAAGGCACACAGGUUCAAUCAUGCAUAGAUUAAAACAUCUGAAACCAUUUCAAAAUUAUAAAAAAACGUUUAUUAAAUUCUUUUAAAAAAUGUUUUUAAAACC